AACGAACGCUGGCGGCAGGCCUAAAACAUGCAAGUCGAACGAACCUUCGGGUUAGUGGCGCACGGGUGAGUAACGCGUGGGAAUAUCCCCUUCACUGCGGAACAACGUCGGGAAACUGACGCUAAUACCGCAUAAUGACUCCGGUCCACAGAUUGAGCGGUGAAGGAUUAGCCCGCGUCUGAUUAGGUAGUUGGUUAGGUAACGGCUCACCAAGCCGACGAUCAGUAGCUGGUCUGAGAGGAUGAUCAGCCACACUGGAACUGAGACACGGUCCAGACUCCUACGGGAGGCAGCAGUUAGGAAUAUUGGACAAUGAGGGCAACCCUGAUCCAGCCAUGCCGCGUGUGUGAAGAAGGCCUGAGGGUUGUAAAGCACUUUCGGCCGUGAAGAUAAUGACAGUAGCAGAAGAAGAAGCUCCGGCUAAAUUCGUGCCAGCCGCCGCAGUAAAAC
rnacentral:rRNA from 1 species